UGCAGUCGAACGGUGAAGCCAAGCUUGCUUGGUGGAUCAGUGGCGAACGGGUGAGUAACACGUGAGCAACCUGCCCUGGACUCUGGGAUAAGCGCUGGAAACGGCGUCUAAUACUGGAUAUGAGCCUCUAUCGCAUGGUGGGGGUUGGAAAGAUUUUUCGGUCUGGGAUGGGCUCGCGGCCUAUCAGCUUGUUGGUGAGGUAAUGGCUCACCAAGGCGUCGACGGGUAGCCGGCCUGAGAGGGUGACCGGCCACACUGGGACUGAGACACGGCCCAGACUCCUACGGGAGGCAGCAGUGGGGAAUAUUGCACAAUGGGCGGAAGCCUGAUGCAGCAACGCCGCGUGAGGGAUGACGGCCUUCGGGUUGUAAACCUCUUUUAGCAGGGAAGAAGCGAGAGUGACGGUACCUGCAGAAAAAGCGCCGGCUAACUACGUGCCAGCAGCCGCGGUAAUACGUAGGGCGCAAGCGUUAUCCGGAAUUAUUGGGCGUAAAGAGCUCGUAGGCGGUUUGUCGCGUCUGCUGUGAAAUCCCGAGGCUCAACCUCGGGCCUGCAGUGGGUACGGGCAGACUAGAGUGCGGUAGGGGAGAUUGGAAUUCCUGGUGUAGCGGUGGAAUGCGCAGAUAUCAGGAGGAACACCGAUGGCGAAGGCAGAUCUCUGGGCCGUAACUGACGCUGAGGAGCGAAAGGGUGGGGAGCAAACAGGCUUAGAUACCCUGGUAGUCCACCCCGUAAACGUUGGGAACUAGUUGUGGGGACCAUUCCACGGUUUCCGUGACGCAGCUAACGCAUUAAGUUCCCCGCCUGGGGAGUACGGCCGCAAGGCUAAAACUCAAAGGAAUUGACGGGGACCCGCACAAGCGGCGGAGCAUGCGGAUUAAUUCGAUGCAACGCGAAGAACCUUACCAAGGCUUGACAUACACCAGAACACCGUAG
rnacentral:rRNA from 1 species